CAAUAGAUACCCUGGUAGUCCACGCCGUAAACGAUGAGUGCUAAGUGUUAGAGGGUUUCCGCCCUUUAGUGCUGCAGCUAACGCAUUAAGCACUCCGCCUGGGGAGUACGGCCGCAAGGCUGAAACUCAAAGGAAUUGACGGGGGCCCGCACAAGCGGUGGAGCAUGUGGUUUAAUUCGAAGCAACGCGAAGAACCUUACCAGGUCUUGACAUCCUCUGCCACUCCUAGAGAUAGGACGUUCCCCUUCGGGGGACAGAGUGACAGGUGGUGCAUGGUUGUCGUCAGCUCGUGUCGUGAGAUGUUGGGUUAAGUCCCGCAACGAGCGCAACCCUUGUUCUUAGUUGCCAGCAUUCAGUUGGGCACUCUAAGGAGACUGCCGGUGACAAACCGGAGGAAGGUGGGGAUGACGUCAAAUCAUCAUGCCCCUUAUGACCUGGGCUACACACGUGCUACAAUGGAUGGUACAAAGGGCUGCGAAACCGCGAGGUUAAGCCAAUCCCAUAAAACCAUUCUCAGUUCGGAUUGUAGGCUGCUAACG
rnacentral:rRNA from 1 species